rnacentral:rRNA from 1 species
UGCGUAGGUGGCGUGUUAAGUCAGUGGUGAAAGCCUGCAGCUCAACUGUAGAGGUGCCAUUGAUACUGACAUGCUUGAGUAUGGACGAGGUAGGCGGAAUUUGUGGUGUAGCGGUGAAAUGCAUAGAUACCACAAAGAACACCGAUAGCGAAGGCAGCUUACUGGAUCAUAACUGACACUGAGGCACGAAAGCGUGGGGAGCGAACAGGAUUAGAUACCCUGGUAGUCC